rnacentral:lncRNA from 1 species
GUCACAGACGCGGAGGGGGCAUACAUGGGUCUUUGUAAUAGUUAAUUUUAUGCAUCAACUUGACUGGAUCACAGUGUGCCCAGAUAUUUGAUCAAACAUUAUUCUGAGUGUUUCCGUGACAAUGUUUUUGGAUACAAUCAACAUUUAUUUAAUUGGUUGAAGACCUGAAUAGAACAAAGAGUUCAAUUCUCUCAAGUAAGAGAAUUCCUCCUGUCUGACUACUUCAGAAUUGGGACAUUGGCUUUUUCCUGCCUCUACACUACAACUACACCAUCAAGCCUUCAGACAUGGAAAGGAACCACACUAUUGGCUCUCCUCGGUCUUCAGCUUGCCAACUCAAUGCAGAUCUUUGCAUUUGUCAGCCUUAUAACCAUGUGAGCUAAUUCCCUAAAAUAAAUGUCCU